rnacentral:rRNA from 1 species
UACAGAGGUCUCAAGCGUUGUUCGGAUUCAUUGGGCGUAAAGGGCUCGUAGGCGGCCAACUAAGUCGGACGUGAAAUCCCUCAGCUUAACUGAGGAACUGCGUCCGAUACUGGAUGGCUUGGAUUCGGGAGAGGAAUGCGGAAUUCCAGGUGUAGCGGUGAAAUGCGUAGAUAUCUGGAGGAACACCGGUGGCGAAGGCGGCAUUCUGGACCGACAUUGACGCUGAGGAGCGAAAGCCAGGGGAGCAAACGGG